ensembl:snoRNA
UCUCCUUUUCUUGAUGGGGACCAGUCAUGUGGUCCCGCCUCCUGUUAUGUGCAGAGGCAGAGAGAAAGGGCUGUGGCCCUCCAGGCUUCACGUCUUCAGUGCCGGCAGCUUCCCGUCUUCCGAUUGUAUCCUCAAACACCAGGACACGC